UACGUAGGGUGCAAGCGUUGUCCGGAAUUAUUGGGCGUAAAGAGCUCGUAGGCGGUUUGUCGCGUCUGGUGUGAAAAUCCAGGGCUUAACCCUGGACCUGCAUCGGGUACGGGCAGACUAGAGUGCGGUAGGGGAGAUCGGAAUUCCUGGUGUAGCGGUGAAAUGCGCAGAUAUCAGGAGGAACACCGGUGGCGAAGGCGGAUCUCUGGGCCAUUACUGACGCUGAGGAGCGAAAGCGUGGGGAGCGAACAGG
rnacentral:rRNA from 1 species